GCCCUAGUAACGGCGAGUGAAGCGGCAACAGCUCAAAUUUGAAAUCUGGCCUCGGCCCGAGUUGUAAUUUGUAGAGGAAGCUUUAGGCGCGGCACCUUCUGAGUCCCCUGGAACGGGGCGCCACAGAGGGUGAGAGCCCCGUAUAGUUGGAUGCCUAGCCUGUGUAAAGCUCCUUCGACGAGUCGAGUAGUUUGGGAAUGCUGCUCAAAAUGGGAGGUAAAUUUCUUCUAAAGCUAAAUACCGGCCAGAGACCGAUAGCGCACAAGUAGAGUGAUCGAAAGAUGAAAAGCACUUUGAAAAGAGGGUUAAAUAGCACGUGAAAUUGUUGAAAGGGAAGCGCUUGUGACCAGACUUGCGCCGGGCGGAUCAUCCGGUGUUCUCACCGGUGCACUCCGCCCGGCUCAGGCCAGCAUCGGUUCUCGCGGGGGGAUAAAGGCCCCGGGAACGUAGCUCCUCCGGGAGUGUUAUAGCCCGGGGCGUAAUGUCCUCGCGGGGACCGAGGACCGCGCAUCUGCAAGGAUGCUGGCGUAAUGGUCACCAGCGA
rnacentral:rRNA from 1 species